ACAGGCAUGAGCCACCGCGCCCAGGCCCAUGUCUCUAUUUCUAUUGCAACAAUGCCUCACUUUGCACCUAUGACCAACUGAUGGGGGAAGAUAUGACUUAGGCUUGGUUGUCAGAUGGGUCACUCAGGAUGUUGUUGUGAGCCACGAACGGACUGCUGGAACACACAACUCUACCCAAGAAUGGUGCAAAAGGAGAGCAGUAAGGGAAAAAUCCGUCCAGAGGCACAGCUAUGUGUGCUAAUGAAAUUUAGCAUUUUCUUUAAUUAUAUAGGUAGACAAUAAACCACAGUAAUACUGACAUUGUGAUGAAUAGAAAUCAUAAAUAUUUUCAUUUUACAUUAUUACUUAUGGCUAUCACUAUUUUGAA
rnacentral:lncRNA from 1 species